GGUUAAGCGACUAAGCGUACACGGUGGAUGCCCUGGCAGUCAGAGGCGAUGAAGGACGUGCUAAUCUGCGAUAAGCGUCGGUAAGGUGAUAUGAACCGUUAUAACCGGCGAUUUCCGAAUGGGGAAACCCAGUGUGUUUCGACACACUAUCAUUAACUGAAUCCAUAGGUUAAUGAGGCGAACCGGGGGAACUGAAACAUCUAAGUACCCCGAGGAAAAGAAAUCAACCGAGAUUCCCCCAGUAGCGGCGAGCGAACGGGGAGCAGCCCAGAGCCUGAAUCAGUGUGUGUGUUAGUGGAAGCGUCUGGAAAGGCGCGCGAUACAGGGUGACAGCCCCGUACACAAAAAUGCACAUGCUGUGAGCUCGAUGAGUAGGGCGGGACACGUGGUAUCCUGUCUGAAUAUGGGGGGACCAUCCUCCAAGGCUAAAUACUCCUGACUGACCGAUAGUGAACCAGUACCGUGAGGGAAAGGCGAAAAGAACCCCGGCGAGGGGAGUGAAAAAGAACCUGAAACCGUGUACGUACAAGCAGUGGGAGCACGCUUAGGCGUGUGACUGCGUACCUUUUGUAUAAUGGGUCAGCGACUUAUAUUCUGUAGCAAGGUUAACCGAAUAGGGGAGCCGAAGGGAAACCGAGUCUUAACUGGGCGUUAAGUUGCAGGGUAUAGACCCGAAACCCGGUGAUCUAGCCAUGGGCAGGUUGAAGGUUGGGUAACACUAACUGGAGGACCGAACCGACUAAUGUUGAAAAAUUAGCGGAUGACUUGUGGCUGGGGGUGAAAGGCCAAUCAAACCGGGAGAUAGCUGGUUCUCCCCGAAAGCUAUUUAGGUAGCGCCUCGUGAAUUCAUCUCCGGGGGUAGAGCACUGUUUCGGCAAGGGGGUCAUCCCGACUUACCAACCCGAUGCAAACUGCGAAUACCGGAGAAUGUUAUCACGGGAGACACACGGCGGGUGCUAACGUCCGUCGUGAAGAGGGAAACAACCCAGACCGCCAGCUAAGGUCCCAAAGUCAUGGUUAAGUGGGAAACGAUGUGGGAAGGCCCAGACAGCCAGGAUGUUGGCUUAGAAGCAGCCAUCAUUUAAAGAAAGCGUAAUAGCUCACUGGUCGAGUCGGCCUGCGCGGAAGAUGUAACGGGGCUAAACCAUGCACCGAAGCUGCGGCAGCGACGCUUAUGCGUUGUUGGGUAGGGGAGCGUUCUGUAAGCCUGUGAAGGUGUGCUGUGAGGCAUGCUGGAGGUAUCAGAAGUGCGAAUGCUGACAUAAGUAACGAUAAAGCGGGUGAAAAGCCCGCUCGCCGGAAGACCAAGGGUUCCUGUCCAACGUUAAUCGGGGCAGGGUGAGUCGACCCCUAAGGCGAGGCCGAAAGGCGUAGUCGAUGGGAAACAGGUUAAUAUUCCUGUACUUGGUGUUACUGCGAAGGGGGGACGGAGAAGGCUAUGUUGGCCGGGCGACGGUUGUCCCGGUUUAAGCGUGUAGGCUGGUUUUCCAGGCAAAUCCGGAAAAUCAAGGCUGAGGCGUGAUGACGAGGCACUACGGUGCUGAAGCAACAAAUGCCCUGCUUCCAGGAAAAGCCUCUAAGCAUCAGGUAACAUCAAAUCGUACCCCAAACCGACACAGGUGGUCAGGUAGAGAAUACCAAGGCGCUUGAGAGAACUCGGGUGAAGGAACUAGGCAAAAUGGUGCCGUAACUUCGGGAGAAGGCACGCUGAUAUGUAGGUGAAGUCCCUCGCGGAUGGAGCUGAAAUCAGUCGAAGAUACCAGCUGGCUGCAACUGUUUAUUAAAAACACAGCACUGUGCAAACACGAAAGUGGACGUAUACGGUGUGACGCCUGCCCGGUGCCGGAAGGUUAAUUGAUGGGGUCAGCGCAAGCGAAGCUCUUGAUCGAAGCCCCGGUAAACGGCGGCCGUAACUAUAACGGUCCUAAGGUAGCGAAAUUCCUUGUCGGGUAAGUUCCGACCUGCACGAAUGGCGUAAUGAUGGCCAGGCUGUCUCCACCCGAGACUCAGUGAAAUUGAACUCGCUGUGAAGAUGCAGUGUACCCGCGGCAAGACGGAAAGACCCCGUGAACCUUUACUAUAGCUUGACACUGAACAUUGAGCCUUGAUGUGUAGGAUAGGUGGGAGGCUUAGAAGUGUGGACGCCAGUCUGCAUGGAGCCGACCUUGAAAUACCACCCUUUAAUGUUUGAUGUUCUAACGUUGACCCGUAAUCCGGGUUGCGGACAGUGUCUGGUGGGUAGUUUGACUGGGGCGGUCUCCUCCUAAAGAGUAACGGAGGAGCACGAAGGUUGGCUAAUCCUGGUCGGACAUCAGGAGGUUAGUGCAAUGGCAUAAGCCAGCUUGACUGCGAGCGUGACGGCGCGAGCAGGUGCGAAAGCAGGUCAUAGUGAUCCGGUGGUUCUGAAUGGAAGGGCCAUCGCUCAACGGAUAAAAGGUACUCCGGGGAUAACAGGCUGAUACCGCCCAAGAGUUCAUAUCGACGGCGGUGUUUGGCACCUCGAUGUCGGCUCAUCACAUCCUGGGGCUGAAGUAGGUCCCAAGGGUAUGGCUGUUCGCCAUUUAAAGUGGUACGCGAGCUGGGUUUAGAACGUCGUGAGACAGUUCGGUCCCUAUCUGCCGUGGGCGCUGGAGAACUGAGGGGGGCUGCUCCUAGUACGAGAGGACCGGAGUGGACGCAUCACUGGUGUUCGGGUUGUCAUGCCAAUGGCAUUGCCCGGUAGCUAAAUGCGGAAGAGAUAAGUGCUGAAAGCAUCUAAGCACGAAACUUGCCCCGAGAUGAGUUCUCCCUGACUCCUUGAGAGUCCUGAAGGAACGUUGAAGACGACGACGUUGAUAGGCCGGGUGUGUAAGCGCAGCGAUGCGUUGAGCUAACCGGUACUAAUGAACCGUGAGGCUUAACCUU
rnacentral:rRNA from 2 species